UACAGAGGGGGCGAGCGUUAUUCGGAAUUACUGGGCGUAAAGGGCUCGUAGGUGGCCAACUAAGUCAGACGUGAAAUCCCCAGGCUCAACUUGGGAACUGCGUCUGAUACUGGAUGGCUUGAAUUCGGGAGAGGGAUGCAGAAUUCCAGGUGUAGCGGUGAAAUGCGUAGAUAUCUGGAGGAAUACCGGUGGCGAAGGCGGCAUCCUGGACCGAGAUUGACACUGAUGAGCGAAAGCUAGGGGAGCAAACGGG
rnacentral:rRNA from 1 species